rnacentral:tRNA from 1 species
AAAGAUAUAGUAUAAAUUAAUACAUUUCACUUACACUGAAAAUAUACUUUCCUUAUAAGUUAUCUUUA